rnacentral:rRNA from 1 species
GAUGAACGCUGGCGGCGUGCCUAAUACAUGCAAGUCGAGCGAAGCGGGGACGGGCGAGUAACACGUGGAUAACCUCCUAUAAGACUGGGAUAAAUUCGGGGAACCGGGGCUAAACCAGAUACUUAUAGAUGGCUCCGCGGUGCAUUAGCUAGUUGGUAAGGUAACGGCUAACCAAGGCAACGAUGCAUAGACGACCUGAGAGGGUGUUCGGCCACACCGGAACUGAUACACGGUCCAGACUCCGACGGGAGGCAGCAGUAGGGAAUCUUCCGCAAUGGGCGAAAGCCUGACGGAGCAAUGCCGCGUGAGUGAUGAAGGUCUUCGGAUCGUAAACCUCUGUUAUUAGGGAAGCGGUACCUAAUCAGAAAGCCACGGCUAACUACGUGCCAGCAGCCGCGGUAAUUC